CUAGCAUAUCAAUAAGCGGAGGAAAAGAAACCAACAGGGAUUGCCUCAGUAACGGCGAGUGAAGCGGCAACAGCUCAAAUUUGAAAUCUGGCUCCGUCGGGGUCCGAGUUGUAAUUUGUAGAGAGUGUUUCGGGUGAGACCACGGUCUAAGUCUAUUGGAACAUGGCGUCAUAGAGGGUGAGAAUCCCGUAUGUGACUGUGGCUCGAGCCCAUGUGAAGCCUCUUCGACGAGUCGAGUUGUUUGGGAAUGCAGCUCAAAAUGGGUGGUAAAUUUCAUCUAAAGCUAAAUACUGGCUGGAGACCGAUAGCGCACAAGUAGAGUGAUCGAAAGAUGAAAAGCACUUUGGAAAGAGAGUCAAAAAGUACGUGAAAUUGUUGAAAGGGAAGCGCUUGCAACCAGACCUGUCCGUAGGUGAUCAGCCGCUGUUCUCAGCGGUGCACUCGCUCUGCGAUCAGGCCAGCAUCGGUUUCGGCGGUCGGAUAAAGGCCUUGGGAAUGUAGCUUCCUUCGGGGAGUCUUAUAGCCCUCGGUGCAAUGCGGCCAGCCGGGACCGAGGACCGCGCUUCGGCUAGGAUGCUGGCGUAAUGGUUGUAAGCGACCCGUCUUGAAACACGGACCAAGGAGUCUACCAUCUAUGCGAGUGUUUGGGUGUUAAACCCAUGCGCGGAAUGAAAGUGAACGGAGGUGAGAACCCUUUAGGGCGCAUCAUCGACCGAUCCAGAUGUCUUCGGAUGGAUUUGAGUAUGAGCAUAGCUGGUGGGACCCGAAAGAUGGUGAACUAUGCCUGAAUAGGGUGAAGCCAGAGGAAACUCUGGUGGAGGCUCGCAGCGGUUCUGACGUGCAAAUCGAUCGUCAAAUUUGGGCAUAGGGGCGAAAGACUAAUC
rnacentral:rRNA from 1 species